rfam:Tnclutured Candidatus Nitrosocaldus sp. DNA, fosmid clone: No.45-H-12.
ACUCCGGUUGAUCCUGCCGGACCCGACUGCUAUCGGAUUGGGACUAAGCCAUGCGAGUCAACUCCGCAAGGGGUGGCGCACGGCUCAGUAACACGUAGUCAACCUACCCUGGGGACGGGGAUAACCUCGGGAAACUGAGGCUAAACCCCGAUAGGCCAUGGCUCCUGGAAUGGGCUAUGGCUGAAAUCUAUAUGGCCCCAGGAUGGGACUGCGGCCGAUCAGGUUGUUGGUGGGGUAAUGGCCCACCAAGCCUAUAACCGGUGCGGGCUCUGAGAGGAGGAGCCCGGAGAUGGGCACUGAGACAAGGGCCCAGGUCCUAUGGGGCGCAGCAGGCGCGAAACCUCCGCAAUGGGCGAAAGCCCGACGGGGUCAGUCCGAGUGGUUCCCGCUGAGGGAACCUUUUGCCAGCUGUAAACAGGCUGGCGAAUAAGGGGUGGGCAAGUUUGGUGUCAGCCGCCGCGGUAAUACCAGCACCCCGAGUGGUCGGGACGAUUAUUGGGCCUAAAGCAUCCGUAGCCGGCCCAGUAAGUCCUCCGUUAAAUCCAACGGCUCAACCGUUGGGCUGCGGGGGAUACUGCUGGGCUAGGGGACGGGAGAGGCGAGGGGUAUUCCCGGGGUAGGGGUAAAAUCCACUGAUCCCGGGAGGACCACCAGUGGCGAAGGCGCCUCGCUAGAACGUGCCCGACGGUGAGGGAUGAAAGCUGGGGGAGCGAACCGGAUUAGAUACCCGGGUAGUCCCAGCCGUAAACGAUGUAGGCUCGGUGUUGGGCUGCCUCAGUGGCAGCCCAGUGCCGCAGGGAAGCCGUUAAGCCUACCGCCUGGGGAGUACGGCCGCAAGGCUGAAACUUAAAGGAAUUGGCGGGGGAGCACCACAAGGGGUGAAGCCUGCGGUUUAAUUGGAGUCAACGCCGGGAACCUUACCAGGGGUGACAGCAGGAUGAAGGUCAAGCCAAAGACUUUACCAGACAAGCUGAGAGGAGGUGCAUGGCCGUCGCCAGCUCGUGCCGUGAGGUGUCCUGUUAAGUCAGGUAACGAGCGAGACCCUCGCAUCCAGUUGCUACCAUCACUCUUUGGAGCGGUGGGGCUAACUGGAUGGACUGCCGCCGAUAAGGCGGAGGAAGGAGGGGGCUACGGCAGGUCAGUAUGCCCCGAAACCCCUGGGCCACACGCGGGCUGCAAUGGUAGGGACAAUGGGUUCCGACCCCGAAAGGGGGAGGCAAUCCCCAAACCCUACCCCAGUUAUGAUUGAGGGCUGCAACCCGCCCUCAUGAAUCUGGAAUCCCUAGUAAUCGCGUGUCACCAUCGCGCGGUGAAUACGUCCCUGCUCCUUGCACACACCGCCCGUCGCUUCACCCGAGGUGGGCUUGCGUGAGAUGGUGCCUCUUGGUAUCAUCGAACGCAAGCUUGCUGAGGGGGGAGAAGUCGUAACAAGGUGGCCGUAGGGGAACCUGCGGCCGGAUCACCUCCU